rnacentral:RNase_P_RNA from 1 species
AAAGUCGGCCAGGCAAUCGCCGGAUACUUCGGUAUCGGGAGGAAAGUCCGGGCUCCGCAGGGCAGGAUGCCAGUUAACGGCUGGGCGCCAUAAGCCGCAAGGCCAAAGCGACGGACAGUGCAACAGAGAACAGACCGCCGAUGGCUCCGCAAGGAGAUCAGGUAAGGGUGAAACGGCGAGGUAAGAGCUCACCGCGUCCACGGUAACGGCGGACGGCACGGUAAACCCCAUCCGGAGCAAGACCAAAUAGGGAAGCA